GCGGCAGGCCUAACACAUGCAAGUCGAGGGGCAGCACAAAGAUAGUUUACUAUUUUGGUGGCGACCGGCGCACGGGUGAGUAACGCGUAUGCAACCUACCUUAUACAGGAGUAUAGCCCGAAGAAAUUCGGAUUAAUCCUCCAUAGUAUUUUCUAAUGGCAUCAUUUGGGAAAUUAAAGCUUCGGCGGUAUAAGAUGGGCAUGCGUCCUAUUAGCUAGAUGGUAAGGUAAUGGCUUACCAUGGCAACGAUAGGUAGGGGGCC
rnacentral:rRNA from 1 species